ACAAAGCAGAGCUGCGCUUAUGAACUCUACUUUAAUAUGCAUCGUUCAGAGGCAAGAUGAAAAGAAAAUAACAAGUAAACGUUUCUAAAGACAGUAAGUUCCCCUCAGAAAUACAUUCAUAAUCUCCUACUCCAAUUGUAUCGCGAUUUGUUUGGCAUCUCAACCGAUUUGAAUCGUCAAGUAAUCGAUUUUCAACCGGCUCGCGGUUAAUUGUUACAUCCCUACUGAAACCUCUUUUAAACCAUCAUAGGACUGUAAAAACUCAUUCAUGUAAAUAAUUAAUAUAUAUUUAAUUUCUUUAUGUGUCUGUUUACAUUAAAAAAUUUUUUUUUGACAGAUUCAACAAAUUCUGCAAAAUAUAAUAUUUAUGUAUAUUACUGUAUUUGUCAUUAAUAACCUUUAUUAAAUAUAUAAAGUUUUGCUUGUCUUAGCUGGUUUAAUCUGGUUUAGCUGGUUUCCCAGUCUUAAACCAUCAUCAAAGAGCAGACUGAGCAUGUUGUCCAGGCUAGUAACACUGCUAGCUCCUCUAGGCUGGUUUAGGCUGUUUUCUUGUUUUGAGCAGGGAUGCUGCUGUAGAUCAUCGACACUCGAGGAAAAGACAGGUACACAGUGUGGUUUUGAGCUUGAGUAUGAAUGCGGCCCAGAGCGUUGUGUGGCUGCAGGCAGAUGUCUGUAGUGUUGCGUGGUCCUCCUGUGUGGCCCUUCAGUUCACAGAUACAGCAGAGAAACAGAUGGAGGAGUGUGAGGAGACUCCAGCAGCAGCAGUCACAGGUAUUUUGUAAAACCUAACUAACAAAUGGCAGUUCCUUGACAUCAUUAUUUUCCAGGAAGUGACAUCAUUUUGGAGGGAAAAGAACAGCAAAACCAUCAAUUGAAGUUACAGAUUUCAGCAGAUUUCUGCCAGAGAUGAUUGAUUUGCUGGGGUCCAUGUAAGAGUGCAGUCACCCCAGCAGCGAGUGCAGUCGAGUCUGGACUUGUUGAUGAACCGGAGGGCUGGAGCCGUGGGGCGGACGCAUUACAUUGGAGUCGUGUGGAUUAAAGCUGAGCUGAUCUGAUAUGAGGCCGAUCCUACAGACGGAAGAGAGCACUUUAUUGGCUUUAUCAUCACAAACCACCGGCUACACCGCAAUCAGAUCAAUCCUCUGUACUCAUCCCGCUCUACAGAUAUCCGACACACACACACACACACACACACACAGGAAAGGCUUAUUGCUCAGAGGUUAUGCUUCAUACAGCGGAGAGCACCUCAAGUCAUUUGACCUUGGGAGAAUUUAAUGAGAAAUGUUUGAGUUUGAAUUGAGAUCACUGACUUGAUAGGACAGUGUGAAACAUGAGGAGAAACAUGCUUCUGCUCACCGAGGCUGCAUUUAUUUGAUCAAAAAUGCAGUAAAAACAAUUCCAAAUGGCUGUUUUCUAUUUUAAGAUAUGUUAAAAUGUAAUUUUUUGCUGUGCUGCAAAGCUGAAUUUUCCGCAUCAUUACUCCCGUCUUCAAUGUCACAUGAUCCUUCAGAGAUCAUUCUAAUAUGCAGAUUUGCUGCUCAUCAUCAAUGUUGAAAACAGUUGUGCUGCUGAAUAUUUUUGUGGAAACCAUGAUUUAUUUAUUUAUUUGAGAAUUUUGUUUAUUUGGAAUAGAAAUCUUUGGAGACAUUAUAAAUGUGUUUAUGGUGAUUUUUUAUGAAUUUAUUGCAUCCUUGCUAAAUAAAAGUAUAUAUUUUUUUCAAACUUACCCAACACUGAGAUUUCUGAAUUUUGAUCGCAGACUUGGUAGAGCAGUUAGAGACACUGUUGAGAUUUCUUGUGAAACUCUCUUUUGCAUUAAAUAGUAUUCAC